rnacentral:rRNA from 1 species
AUGUUGGUAGACAUUAUGACUGAUGAUAACAAGGGCAAGGACGACAGACAGGUGGCAGCAUCUCAAGCACUGGUGACUCUAUGUUCCAAAACUGAAACGGGUGCCAGGAUUAUCAUUAAGGCAAAUGAUAAUGUUGUUAAUAAUCUCACUGUGAUGAUCACUGAAAACCGUAAAGCCCGAUUAUUUGCAGCAAAAAUCCUGGAAUACCUCUGCAUUCAUUGCACCAGUGAUGAUGAAAGUCUCAAAAGGCUAAUGAAAGUCAUGGCAGAUGUAGUUCCAAAGGUGCUUGGGGAGAUAAUUUGUUGGGCAUCAGAAGAAAAAGGUACAGGAAUAGAAGCUGACCAAGUCAAGUCCACGGAACCAGUAACUGAUCUUGAAAACCAAUCUAGUGUGUCACAAGAUAAUGGCCAGGGCAACAACUCGUCUUCUAAUCAGCAAGACUGGAAGCUGAACGAGUAUGUGGUGAGUUGCUUGUUAUCCCUUUGUGUCACAGUGUGCGACAUGUUGAUCAGUGCAGAUCAGGACUUGACUCCUCAGUUUGAAUCAACUACCCCUAUGGAUGGUGUAUCUAGCUUCCCAAUGAAGCUCAAGCAGAUUGUAGGAAAAAAUAUGCAUCACAGGUCUGACCGCCUGGCAAUUCUGAAGCUUACAUGUAAGAUGGUCAUAUCAAUGAUGAAACACAGGGGCAGCUAUGUCAAGGAAGACCUGCAAAGUUUGAUGGAUACACUGUCCACCGCUUCGAAAGAUAUGUUUCUUAUUGAUGGCUCCAUGGUUUUUGACAUUAAGGAAGAUGGUGGCGGUGCAACGAAGCCGGAGCCUUUCAGGAGUCUCGUUUCCCUUGUGAAAGAAGCACAGGAACUGGUGAACAAAAGAAAUGAACUUUGA